CCCAAACUCAGCUCUCACUAUCUCAGCUCAACCUCCCGAUCCAAUCUCGCCGCUGUGCUCUCAACCCACUACCCACAAACCUCACGCCUCCUCCCUCAUCAAAACCCGAAAAAUUUGCUGACCGAAGAGACCCAAGCUCUUCACUGGUGAGGCUCACUCUGUCACCAGCAGGCUGUCACUCCACUUGAUCAAGUUUCUAGAUCUUCUCACAGGAGUUUUGUUUCAGGUUUUUCUCCUUCACCAAGAACCAACUAAGCCCUAAAUUACGAAUUAGUACCAUCCAUCCAACAAUGGCUUCCGAACUUUCUUUUGGACAUAAAAGGACCUGGAUUGGCAUUUUUGCCUGUGCUUGCAUUUGAAGGAGGAACUAGAAAAAACAUACCGAGGUUUGAGGGAGAGAAGGCCGAGAGGU